rnacentral:tRNA from 1 species
GGGGAUGUGGCUUAGUGGUAGGGUGCUUGCCUUACAUGCACAAGGCCCUGGGUUCAAUCCCCAGCACCA